GACGCCCCAGAGGCCGGACCUGGGCAACCCCAGCCUGGAGGUGCCGGGGCCGGAGCUCCCAGAGGGCUGGGUGCGAGGCCUAGGCGGGGUCAGGUUCGGGUUCCUAGGCCAUAGCGGAGCUGCAGCCCAGGCGGCCGGAGCGGAACCCAGCCCCGCUCCGAGUGCCACGUCUCCAGGAACCCCCUCCUUACUCUUGGACAACACUCCGCCCCCGCCCGGGCCUCCGUCCCCCAAACCGCCCUCAUUUGUGCAGCGCCAGAUCCUUCGGACACAUCCCUAGGUGUCUCCAUCCUCAUUCGGUCCAUCCAACUCCCAGACCUCACGUCAACCGGCUGCACCCCACUUUCCAGCCUGCGCCCCAGAUCUGCAGCCUUCGCCCCUAGAUACACCCGCCUGGUGAUGAGGCGCUCCUCGCGUUCCUUCCGGGCUCCAGGUGUCCGUGAGCCUCCCUUCCGCCCUGGCCUCCGGUCUCUGCCUUGCUCGUGCUUCUACCACCACCCUUCCCCUCCCAACCCGGUGGAUCCUCUCGUCUCCCCCAGUCUCCAGUGCACCGGCUUUCCCUCGUCCUCUGCGCAGUCCAUCUCAGCUCAUCUCUCCAAUUCAAUGCCAUCAUCUCUCCUCACCAUCUCUCGGUGCCCUGGAAUGUUUGCUGUCAGAUGUCCCCUGUGAAACCCACAAACGCUUGCGAUUUGGCCUCCUUGUUUUAUUUUGUGUAGUCCUACAACGUCUUGUUACUACCCCCUAUUACAACACUUAUAACUCAG